GGUCAUAGCUCAGUGGUACAGCAUCUUCUUUGCAUGCAAAAGUCCCCUGGUUCAACCCCUGGGAUCUCCA